CUUCGGAUGAGGCUGCAGCCCUGGUGUGCAGAAAUUCGCACACAAAUUAAACAUUGUCUGGCGUCUCUGACCGACAUCGACAUCAACGUCUCGCCGGCAAUUCUUCGCGCGACGCUUUCUUUGAGUAAUGGACAGAGCGCAGAACACGCAUACGCACACAGACGCGGUCAAGACAAUAGGUUCAGGACCUCACGAAGCUAUAGAAAUGGAUUAAUAUUUGUUUUCUAAUAUUUUAUUAUUAUAUAUAAUUAAAAGAAGUAACAAUUACUUUAAGAAGUGGUGUUUCAAUGUUUAAUGCUUAUUUAAUCAUUUUCUUUGAUUCUUUUAUUUUAUUUUUGAGACCAAGGCCCUACUCCUUCGAAGCGGACUGUAUUCAAGUGCUGAUACCUCGUACCUUACCGCACUGCGACGGGAGAUAGGGCACGGACACGGCUAUAUACAUACCAGAUCAUUCCUAAAUUCAAAUUCAGAUUCACUUGCCCACAAAAUUAGAAAUUUAAAGCGAGCAGCAGAGCGAAAGGCACACAACAAUAUAAAAUCGCAACAUUUUUCAGCGGCUAAAAGUAGCAGACAAAGGGAGAGGCAGCAACCUUAAUAGAUUCGCCAUAAAAGCAAUAAAAAUGGGAGACGAUCUUGUAAAAUGCAGUGUUAGCAUUGAUUUAAUGCUGCUAUUUAAAUACUUAUAUAAAUCAUAAAUAAUUUAAAAUAACUCUAUUUAAAUUUAGUGAAAGAUAAUGGAUGUUUGUAAAAAGUAAAAAAAAAAAACAAUUCUAAAAGCCAAACAAAUGUUCUGGCUCCUCAAUCCACCUCUUGGUUCCUCCCCCGCAAAUUUUAUUUAAAGUUCUUUGGGGGGCGCUUGGCCAUUACUCCGAAUGCUUUUCCCUGUUUUCUCUGCUUUCUAAGAGCACUGUCUGGGAAUGCCCAUCGCCCAAGGCGGACGAAUGCGUAGGCGUCCCCCACUUUUGGAAGACACUUUGUUGUUUGUGCAAUUAAAUAUUGAAUUACUUAAGUAAAAUAUUCUGUUUUGUAAAAUUAUAUCAUGAAGAAUUAGCUUAGAAUAAAGUAAACCUAGACUCAAAUAUAUUAUUUAAGGUAAAGUAAUGCAUGACUCCGUUUUCACUGCCACAUAUGGAGGUUUCCUUCAAAUUCAGUCAGUUUUCAGAGGGCAGGGCGGCUGACUGACACAGAGAUUCUGUUGUGUUGUGCCACAUAUGCAUUCCAUUCACCCACAUGGGGGAUGCCGAGAAUGCCGAAGAACAAGAACUGGAACUGUGGCCCAAUCAUUACAACUCAAUCAUCGGUCGAAAAUAGCAAGUUUCCUCCGAGAUUCCGUUUCCAUCCAUUUCCCGUAUUUUUGGAAGCCACGGAGGGGUCCAACUGCCGGAAGAGCACCCCAUCGCAGCCCAGAUUCCCCACUGAACACGGAACACAGAGCACAGAAGCUCUGCAGCGAUCUCUCGGUGAUUUAGGAACACUAAACCCGAACCGACGUGGGGGAAAGAAAAUACGCACAAAGGGGGAGGAUUCCUCUGGCUCUUCUGCGUGUUCUUCCGCAUGGAGGCGGAAUGCCUCUUUGUGGGCGUUGAAACCCAGAUUUUCGUGUAAUUAAAUCCGUCGAAAUGGUAAUAGAUCCGAGUGUUUAUGGCCAGACAUUAUUGAGCAUAGCGUUUUCCUGAAAGCUAUGUCACACCAAAAAAUGUUAAAAAUAGUCGCAGACAUGCUAAAGGCAUUUACAAUAUAAUAUCAUUGUAGAACUCUUAUUGGAAUACCAAACACUCCUACCGAAAUCGACCGCUUUAAAAGUUCCCAGAAAAUUACGAAAACAGAAGCACCUUUGUCACAAGCCGUCUGCUUGUCUGCAUUAUAGACCCGAGCAGUAGCUUCUAUAGGACUUGAUUAUAAUCCGGAGAUCCCGGGGUAGCACCACCCCAGAGUAUUAUGUUUCACUCCCGACUUCGGUUCCCAUCAGAGUCAAAGGCAAAAGGCAUUUCGGCCAAGGCGAAAGGGCCAAGAGGCUGCGACCGUUGAUCUUUACCGAUUUCCUGCCGAUCGCACGUAAUUGGGUGUCCCGCUAAAAAGUCAUAAUCACCUGUCCAUCCUUUAUCACGGCAAACCCAUACAGACACCUUUGGGAAACCGACGCCCGAGCCCCGAAAGUUUAAAGCUCCGUAAAGCGAUUUUUAUGCACCAAGUGCAUUUCGGACCUGCCGACCAGCCGAGAAAAACAGAGGAGAACCAAAGCGAACUUAACCGAACCGAACCGAGCCGAACGGACCAGAACAGAACAGCACAGCACAGCACAGAACAGAAAGACCAAAGACAAAUUCCUGCGUUUUUCCAGGAAUUCACUCAAUAAACUCAAACAAAACCCAAACAUUUAACAAACGAGCCCCAGCCCCAUCCACAGCCACAUCCACGGCCACAUACACGUCCAAGCCAAACAGCACGAACAAAAAGGCAAAACCAAAACCAAAACUAAAACCAAAACCAAGGCGAUCCCAGCCAGACGUCGACGAAGAUGCUGACCAAGACGGAAGACGGCGAGGAUGGGGAAUCUUGGAUGCUGAUGCUCAUAGUGGUGCUGCUGGUAGUGGAGGUAGAGGUGCUGGUGGGGUUGGUGGUGGGGAAGAAGACGACCAAGACGAAGACGAAGACGACGAUGCGAAGCGCUGAGCAAAACACAAAAUAAACCAAAAGGCAGGCGAGGAAUUUCAAACAAGAACACCACGGUGUUGUCGCACUCCACGAACUUGGAGCUGUGAAUGUGAAGCGGUCAUAGACCAGAGUGGAUGCAAAGUGGAGUAUCAGACGGGGAAAUACCCUUUAAACAAAGAUCCCACUUUUUGGUACAGCUACUGCUACUUUCCCCUAGGACAUACAUAUUCAUUAGGUGACCGGCUACUUAAUGAACCCGAAUCUUCCUGAAGCCGUGGUGUCAGUUUGUGGUGCAGUGCCGAAAAGGAGACAGGAGUCGGGAGACUGGAGACAGGAGCAGGAGUCGGGGAGGUGGCCCUGGCCAUUCUGGUGGGCGAGCAGACGCAGGAUGCCGGAUCCCAUGGCCGUCUGGCUGCAUUCCAAGUGCCGCAGAGCCAAACAAAACCAUUCCGAGCCAAACUGAACCGAACCCGAACCCGAAGAGCAGAAAGCAGUGGCAGCAGUGGAGGCAGUGGAGGCUGCCAAACCUAAUCCGACGACGACUCCGACUGCGACUCCGAUGAGAUGAGGAGUUGUCGUGCCAGGAGAAACAGGAGAAGCUGCCGGCAGCACAAGAUUCA